rnacentral:rRNA from 1 species
GAUGAACGCUGGCGGCGUGCCUAACACAUGCAAGUCGAACGGAUCCAUAUUGAAACCUAGUGAUGUAUGGAUUAGUGGCGGACGGGUGAGUAACGCGUGGAUAACCUGCCGUAUACAGGGGGAUAACACUUAGAAAUAGGUGCUAAUACCGCAUAAGCGCACGGUUCCGCAUGGAACAGUGUGAAAAACUCCGGUGGUAUACGAUGGAUCCGCGUCUGAUUAGCCAGUUGGCGGGGUAACGGCCCACCAAAGCGACGAUCAGUAGCCGGCCUGAGAGGGUGAACGGCCACAUUGGGACUGAGACACGGCCCAA